rnacentral:rRNA from 1 species
UGAGGAAUAUUGGUCAAUGGACGCAAGUCUGAACCAGCCAUGCCGCGUGCAGGAUGACGGCUCUAUGAGUUGUAAACUGCUUUUGUAUGAGGGUAAACUCGUCUACGAGUAGACGACUGAAAGUAUCAUACGAAUAAGGAUCGGCUAACUCCGUGCCAGCAGCCGCGGUAAUACGGAGGAUUCAAGCGUUAUCCGGAAUUAUUGGGUUUAAAGGGUGCGUAGGCGGUUUGAUAAGUCAGCGGUGAAAAGCCAGUGCUUAACAUUGGUCUUGCCGUUGAUACUGUUGGACUAGAGAAUAGUUGCGGUAGGCGGAAUGUAUGGUGUAGCGGUGAAAUGCUUAGAGAUCAUACAGAACACCGAUUGCGAAGGCAGCUUACCAAGCUAUAUCUGACGCUGAGGCACGAAAGCGUGGGGAGCAAACA